UCAGUGGCACCCUGUUUGUGGAUACCAUGCCUACUCCUCUCUGCUCCCUUUCAGACUUUCAGCUGAUUCUCACCAUCCUGGGCACCGUUGCUGGCGUCCUCAUUCUUGGCAUGGUGAUCGCACUGAUCCUCAUGAGAUCAAAGAAAACGAAGGAUAGUGAAGAACAGCACCUGAUUGAAAAUGACUUUCAGAAUCUGAAACUGCAGCAAACGACAGGCUUCAGCUCUCCAGCAGAUGGGAGCAUCUUCCCCAAAAUCGCAACCAGCUUCCCCAGAGACAGUGGGAUGCACAAUCCCUAUGCAAAUCCUAGAGGCAUGCCCCGCCCUGACUAUUAGAAUAGUAAGAAUCUGGAACUAUCCAUGGCCCUCAACCCACUGUACGAGCCUGUAUUUUGACUGAAAGACUGGUGGAGAAGUGAGCAACAGUGAAGAUCUGGCCUUUGCUCUUUUUCUUCCAUCUGAUAUCUAGCCUCUCUGAAUGGAAGUUGUGAAUGUUUGCAAGACUAUAGCUUGUUUGCUAAAUACCUAUGAAAUUAAACACACUUACAUGCUAUUAGCACUUGUAAGACAGUUGAUUUUCUCCUAUCAGUACAAUCAUUAGGGUUGUCUUUUUUUCCCCCUGGUGAACAACAAUAACCAUUUCCAAUCUAGGGGAAAGUUCCCUAAGGUUGUUUACUCCUGGGAAAAUGUUGCUCUUGAGUUGAUAGCCUACAGAUAAGUAACCUAAUCUUGGGAGACUCAUACAUAUCAGCUGUGGCAGUCACAGGCUGGGAAGAGACACCAUUUUUUAAGGUUCUCCUCCUAUCCCUCAGCUGUAGGGAUUUUAUUACCCUUGAAGCAGCAGGUGCUUAUGACCUGGCCUCACACCAAGAAGACAGAAAAUAGACAUGUCUCUGCUUUUUCAGGAGGACCAGUGAAGUACAGGACCUUUUUGUGAAUUAGGAAGCUUGGACAAGAAAUGGCCAUCCUCGCGUACAGUCUAGAGUUUUUGAAAUGCCACUCGGUAGGAGAGACAGGGAGAGAAAAUGUGACCGGGGGCAGGAGGAACAGAGGCAGGAGGAAGCUGGACUGGGAAGAUGAGUAAAGGAGAAGGUACACAGGACCCACCUUCGUCCUCAGAUUCCCCUCCUCCGUAAGCAGAUGGGCCCUCCCUCUAAUUCAUCCCCACCCAAGACUCAGAGCCUAAGAAAAGGUGUAAAGACAAAACCCCCAGGAGCAAGAACUUGAAGUCCCUCUGAAGUUGCCGGCGUUCUGUCUGGCUGAUGGUGAAAGAGAGUGGUGCUCUGACUCCAGCUGUCCAGCCUUGUGGUGCAGAGUCCAGAGGGACUUCACUCAGGUCUCAGCCUUCAACGGUGGCAGAGGCUCAGCUGUGGCCACCAACACAUACUCACCCAAGCACGGUGCAGCCUCAACCAGCACAGGCUUUCCUUAACGUUAAUAGUGUCCUUAUUUAUGUCUAAUGUCUGAUCCCCUUGCAAGUUAUUUUUGUUGUUAUUAUUAUUCAUUCUUGAGUGUUCAUGUGAAAAAUAGCAAAUAAAGUAUCUUUGGUAGAUGGUA